rnacentral:lncRNA from 1 species
AAAAGCACUUUCAAAUAGGUUCUAGCCUUUUACACUCUCAUUUGUAUUUCUAGCCAAUGGAUUGAAUAAAUCAAACAAAAUCAAUGAACAAGAUUAAACAAAAGUGCGUAAAAAGUUAAAAGGAUUUUGCAUUAUCCUUUCUCUAAGAUUAUGAUAUUAAGUAAAUAAUACUGGUAUAUACGGUAAUAUAUUUUAUAGAUUAAUUGGACAUUUUUUCUUUUGUUCAAUUGAAAAGUUGUUAAUCAAGUGUAUAGGAUAGAUAGGUCCAGACAACACACAUUUUUACCUUUCAACAACCACAAUGUUAAAUAUGCAGAAAUCAUUUAGACGGAAAGAAGUUAAAAAAUGUGUACAUGGGAAUUAAAAAAAGUAGUAUGAAAUACAGAAAUUUAUACAAAAAUAAUUAAUUAAUAAGAUAAAACGGCUAUGGUAUAUUUCUGUUUUGGCCUUGAUGUUCUAUAAACAAUGAAAUGUUAAAAGAGUGAGAUAGAGGGAGAUCGAAAAUGAAGGGUGAUACAAAAUAGUAGCACCGUCCAUGAUUAUUAAAAUGGAACUUUAACGAAAAGCUCACAG